AAAAAAAGUUUCUCUCAGUCUAAAAGCGUUCGCUAUGAUAUCGGGCUGCAACUACGUAUACCAAAAAUUAAAAAAGAGAAAAGUAUUAUAGUGAUUGGAAAUAAUUUCAAGUUCUAGUACUCCUAUACAUUUUUGUACUUGUACUGAAUCAUCGUUGCCUGCAAAAUUACUCAUAGGAAAUGAGCAACCUGAGACUUCUGGACUACUAUCAGAACUGAACCAGAACUAUUGUACCAUCUAACCCACCCCUGAGAGCGCAUCUCCUAGAAGCAUCAAAUCGCAAACCAAAACAAACCGCCGGCAGAGGCAGCGGCGGUGGCAGAAGGAAGGCAGCAGUUUCCCAGCGCCAGCAGAGACGUUGACGUGACGGUGACGUCGUCGUCGACUGGUUACUGCCGACUUCGACCGCCGCUCCUCCUCCGCUGCCCGCGGCCUCUGCCCGGAGACGGAAACCUGUAGCAUUGCUGCGGGGUCGACCUGGCUGCAACUCCAGCUUUCGAGCCACCUUCUUGCAUAAUCGAAAGCCGAAAAGGUGCCACGAUAUAGGCGAAAAUUUAGGGUUCGAUCAAAGGCCGUCGAGGGGGUGGAGUGAACGGUACAUUUUGUUGGUAUACUCAUAAAAACGAAACGAAAGCUGCCUGUUUGGUAUCCGGUAUCUACAGUGCGGCCCUAAAGUAUUAACGCAGCCGGAAUGUGUAACUUUCUUUUUUAACAGGAAGGUAAAACUGUAAACUUAUUUAUUUUAAAGUAUAUAUCGUAUUUUAAAAUGUUGUGAUAAA